rnacentral:rRNA from 1 species
UAGGGAAUCUUCGGCAAUGGACGAAAGUCUGACCGAGCAACGCCGCGUGAGUGAAGAAGGUUUUCGGAUCGUAAAACUCUGUUGUUAGAGAAGAACAAGGACGUUAGUAACUGAACGUCCCCUGACGGUAUCUAACCAGAAAGCCACGGCUAACUACGUGCCAGCAGCCGCGGUAAUACGUAGGUGGCAAGCGUUGUCCGGCCCUAUUGGGCGUAAAGCGAGCGCAGGCGGUUUCUUAAGUCUGAUGUGAAAGCCCCCGGCUCAACCGGGGAGGGUCAUUGGAAACUGGGAGACUUGAGUGCAGAAGAGGAGAGUGGAAUUCCAUGUGUAGCGGUGAAAUGCGUAGAUAUAUGGAGGAACACCAGUGGCGAAGGCGGCUCUCUGGUCUGUAACUGACGCUGAGGCUCGAAAGCGUGGGGAGCAAACAGG